UACGUAGGGUCCGAGCGUUGUCCGGAAUCAUUGGGCGUAAAGAGCGUGUAGGCGGUCCGGUAAGUCGGCUGUGAAAGUCCAGGGCUCAACCCUGGGAUGCCGGUCGAUACUGCCGGACUAGAGUUCGGAAGAGGCGAGUGGAAUUCCCGGUGUAGCGGUGAAAUGCGCAGAUAUCGGGAGGAACACCUAUGGCGAAGGCAGCUCGCUGGGACGUUACUGACGCUGAGACGCGAAAGCGUGGGGAGCAAACAGG
rnacentral:rRNA from 1 species